rnacentral:rRNA from 1 species
UACAGAGGGUGCGAGCGUUAAUCGGAAUUACUGGGCGUAAAGCGUGCGUAGACGGUUUCGUAAGUCGGGUGUGAAAGCCCCCGGGCUCAACCUGGGAAUUGCAUUCGAGACUGCGUAGCUAGGGUGCGGAAGAGGGAAGCGGAAUUUCCGGUGUAGCGGUGAAAUGCGUAGAUAUCGGAAGAACAUCAGUGGCGAAAGCGGCUUCCUGGUCCAGCACCGACGUCAGGCACGAAAGCGUGGGGAGCAAACAGG